rnacentral:misc_RNA from 1 species
AAGUCGUAACAAGGUUUCCGUAGGUGAACCUGCGGAAGGAUCAUUAAAGAGUCGGCCCUCCCUUCGGGGAGAGGUCCACGGGUGGCAGGCCUGGAUCCAGCCCCGGUCCCCGUCUCUGCACCCUUUGUCUACAUUCCAUCGUUGCUUUGGCGGGCCUUGACCGGUCCCACGACCGGCCGCGCCAGCCGGGGAAUGCGUCCCCUGCCGGCGAGCGCCCGCCAGAGACCCCUUUACCAUUCUGAUUUUUAACCAUGUGGUCUGAGCAAAAAAUCAUAAUAAUCAAAAU